rnacentral:tRNA from 1 species
CCGGCUAUAGCUCGGCUGGCAGCGCGGAGGACUGUAGUGUGUGCAGACAUUCUUAGGUCGGUGGUUCAAAUCCGCCUCGCCGGA